UACGGGGGGGGCAAGCGUUGUUCGGAAUUACUGGGCGUAAAGGGCUCGUAGGCGGCCAACUAAGUCAGACGUGAAAUCCCUCGGCUUAACCGGGGAACUGCGUCUGAUACUGGAUGGCUUGAGUGCGGGAGAGGAAUGCGGAAUUCCAGGUGUAGCGGUGAAAUGCGUAGAUAUCUGGAGGAACACCGGUGGCGAAGGCGGCAUCCUGGACCGACACUGACGCUGAGGCACGAAAGCGUGGGGAGCAAACAGG
rnacentral:rRNA from 1 species